rnacentral:rRNA from 1 species
UACGAAAGGGGCUAGCGUUGUUCGGAAUUACUGGGCGUAAAGCGCACGUAGGCGGCACUGUGAGUUGGGGGUUAAAUCCCGGAGCUCAACUCCGGAACUGCCUUCAAGACUGCAGAGCUGGAGGAUGCGAGAGGUGAGUGGAAUUCCGUGUGUAGAGGUGAAAUUCGUGGGUAUUCGGAAGAACACCAGUGGCGAAGGCGGCUCACUGGCGCAUUUCUGACGCUGAGGUGCGAAAGCGUCGGGAGCAACCGGG